rnacentral:sRNA from 1 species
UUGUAGACCACUCGUACAUUGCGGUUCCCAGCGCGCCGUCCACGCCCACCCGACAACUGCUCGCUCCGGUUUCAUAGCC